CUCUAGUCUAAAAAUGUUGUUUAAACUUAAGUUUUGUUCUUGUAAAAGAAAAGCUCAUUCUCCAGUGAGUUUCGAUGAUCCUGGGUCCUGGAUUCCGAGAUAAUUGAAUCUAUCAUCUACAGUUUCUAGGGAGUACUGUUAUAGUUCAGAGGGUUCUCCUCGUUUUUCUUCUCAUUUUUAAUUAUCUAAAAAAAGUAUUGUAUUUUUUAUUGAUUAUUGUAUUGAUUCAGUGUCUUAGGUCCGUCCGACGACCCGCGUCGUUAUUUUUAUUUUCUUCCAAAACAUUGGAGUCAAGAGUUGAGGUUAAAGUCGUCGGUUUUAAAUUGUUUAUUACUCAUUGCCGAUGUCUUCUCCGUUUUAAAAUAUUUUACACAAUUCUGAGAUACAGUUGAUGCAAUUGACGUGAGAAAAUACACCUUUUUAUUAUUAUUCAAUGACUGACAAAUUUUUAAGUUCGGUAUAUUUUUUUUUCAUGUCAAUUCACGAUUUUCUCGGAUUUGAAAUAAACAUGAAAAAUGAGAAGAUAUCGGGAAUAAAUCCUUAGAUGUAAAACUAUGGACGUUGGAAUUGUCUUUCUCUCGAUAUUUAUCGCUCUAGUGUUGCAAUUUAAUUCUGGGAUCAUCUCUUUGGAUUUCAGGUUCAUUCUCUCUGUCAUUGUUUGAUUCACUGCAGGAACUCACUUAUGUUAUGUAAUAAUCACUUAUCAAAAGUUCGUGGAUAUUGACAUUAUCUCCUGAAUCCCUUAUCAUUCAAACGACUCGAAAUAAAAAUAUGACAUUCCCUCCGAAAAAUAAGCCCUCAAUGACGAUGAGAAUGAAUGACGCGACAAUAAAUCGUCAAAUAAACGAAAAACCAUAGGCUCUGAAAAUAUUUCAGGUGAUUUGUUUUUAUUUUGUUUUUUUUUUAUAUAAAAAAAGAAAAUUUUAAUGUACAUUCAUGAGUUCGUGUGGACGGGAGAGGGCGAGGUGGCAUUAAAUUGAUGGAAAUUUUUAUAUCAGAAUAACUCUCGACACACGUUUAUCAUCACAAUUUAUCGAUCGUUGUAAUAACUAGUGUGUUAUCGAGGGUCUAUGCUACAUAUCUGUGCUCGUACUUCGAUUAAUUUAAAUAAAUCCCAUUACAUAAAUGUUCUGAAGAUUAAAUUAAAACAGUGCAAACUCGUGGAUGAAAAUUAAAUCGAGGACAGCUGAUGGAGUUGAAAUGACGGUGAAUGAUUGUUCUGUCUCGAUGAUAAAGAUUAAAGGAGUAAAACAUUGUCGGUAUAAUGCUAUGAAAUGAUGAUUAUUUAAUAUGAUCAACUUUCUUCCACCAUUUAUCGUGGUUAAUUGUCAGGGGUAGCUUUUACAUUACUUUGAUGAUUACAUGUGGUUUGAUCCUUCGAGAAUGUGAGGGAUG